CCCGGCGGGGCUGCGCGGCCGGCGGCUGCUCGACCUGGCCGGGGACGGCACCCAGGACGUGGUCGAGUUCGGCGGCCCGACGCCCGGG
rnacentral:tRNA from 1 species